GUCUUGGAGGAGCAGAGCUUCCUGGGAAGACAGCAAGGAAAAUGUUCUAGGGGCCAGCCAGCAAGCCCAACUCAGGGAGUCCUCAGCCCCCCUUUUGAGGUAUCAAAAACAAGGGCAGCCGGGCCUGGAGGGCCCCUCAUUAGACAGAGGCGGCUGCGCUCAACCACCAGUCACAAGCAGAGAGGGCAGAGCCAACUCCACGAAUGACCAGUAUUGAAAAGAAAGCUCCAGGGGUGAGUGAGAGACACAGACUGGAAGAGUCUAAAGCAGAAGGUUAAAAAUAAAGAAAAGAGGGAAAAAAGACCACCA
rnacentral:lncRNA from 1 species